GUCAAGCUUCAUCCUAUGCAAAACAUAGGAGAAUUCAUACAGGAGAGAAACUCAUAAGUGUGAUGAUUGUGGCAAAGACUUUACUUCACAUUCACACCUCAUUACAUAUCAGAGAAUCCCUACUGGAGAGAAAUCUUACAAAUGUCAUAAGUGUGGCAAGGUCUUCAGUCUGAGGUCACUCCUUGCAGAACAUCAGAAAAUUCAUUUUUGAGAUAACUGUUCCCAGUGCAACAAUUCCAGGGCUUUUGAAUCGUGCUUCAGCCUUCCUGACCGCUCUCGCCUCCAAAGCCCGAAAAAGAGAGUCGCUGGGAGCGAGGCUGAGAGAAGCACAGGUCCCGCCCCGGCCCCUCCCUCUGCCGGUUCUAAAGGGCAAGGUGUCUCCGCCUGGGGCCCCGCCUCUACCUCGAUCAGGCCCCGCCCACCGUCUCAUUGGCUCCACCCAGGCCUGGCUUUAGUUCUGUCCGCACAGAUGCGCGCAGACCAGGAAGCGGAUCCUGUGGAGUGAAGGUCGCACCGCGGCGGAUUGACUUCUAAAGACUCUUGGUGUGUGAGGAAGAAACCUGGAAGAGGAAGAGGA
rnacentral:sRNA from 1 species